rnacentral:tRNA from 1 species
GGAGAUGUAGCUCAACGGGAGAGCACGAUGCUGGCAGCGUCGCGGUUGAGGGUUCGAAUCCCUCCAUCUCCA